rnacentral:rRNA from 1 species
UACGUAGGGUGCGAGCGUUGUCCGGAAUUAUUGGGCGUAAAGAGCUCGUAGGCGGCUUGUCGCGUCGACUGUGAAAACCCGCGGCUCAACUGCGGGCCUGCAGCCGAUACGGGCAGGCUAGAGUUCGGUAGGGAGACUGGAAUCCUGGUGUAGCGGUGAAAUGCGCAGAUAUCAGGAGGAACACCGGUGGCGAAGGCGGCAUCCUGGACCGACACUGACGCUGAGGAGCGAAAGCCAGGGAGCAAACGGG